rnacentral:rRNA from 1 species
GACAGAGGGUGCAAACGUUGUUCGGAAUUACUGGGCGUAAAGCGCGUGUAGGCGGCUCGGCAAGUCGGGUGUGAAAGCCCUGGGCUUAACCUAGGAAGUGCACUCGAAACUGCCAAGCUUGAGUUCUGGAGAGGAAGGCGGAAUUCUCGGUGUAGAGGUGAAAUUCGUAGAUAUCGAGAGGAACACCGGUGGCGAAGGCGGCCUUCUGGACAAAAACUGACGCUGAGACGCGAAAGCGUGGGGAGCAGACAGG